AAUAGAUCACAAAUGCAUGGGGCGUCCAAAAACUAUUUUUCACCACUGCACAUACACUGUGUGCAAAAAAAUUAGGCAAGUAUUUUCACAGUAUCAUCAUUUUUAUGCGUAUUUUCCAACUCCCAGGUGUUUAAACCUGAGUGCUUAUUGGAUUUGAACAUAUCAGGUGGUGUGUAUUUGUGUAAUGAGGGAGGGUGCGGCCUAAGGAGAUCAACUCCCUGUAUCAAGGUGUGCAUAACUAGCAGGCAGAUUCUUUUCCUCAGGCAAAAUGGGCUGAAAAAGAGAUUUUACUGAUUCUGAAAAGUCAAAAAAAAACAAUAAAAAAAAAUCU